GGGUGUCCUUGCAGGGUGUCUGAGCUAAACUUCACCAAAUAAUAGCUGUUUGUAUUUUGGCUGCUGCAGGAGCCAUUUUAGGAGAAUGACCUUUGCACUGGAAAUGGCAACAAAAUGACCUCCUGGAAGUUGAUACCCCAAAUGAGUAAGGGAAUGGUCUUGUCUCCCCCAACAGAAGUAUAAGGAGAAGAAUUCUAUUGACUGAAUGAUUAUACUACUUUUGUGCACCUACCACGUUUAUCUUUUGAUUAUUCAAAAAAAUAAAAUUUGUUCCCCCAAUUGAUGAUAAUGAAAAUACAGAAGAAAGAGAAACAGCAGUUUUCAAAUUUAAAAGUUCUGAGUCGCUCCCCAAUGUCUGAUGCCUCUGUCACUUGUGAGUACAAGUCUCAGUCUUCAUUUGUUAGCAGCACUGAUAAAGAAGAGAAAAUUACAGAUUUGGCCAGUCACUGUAUCCUUGAGAAGGACCUCUAUCCAGCUGAAGAUGCUGAUCACCUUUUUCCUAGGAAAAUGACAUCCCAUAACGGGAUGGAGGACAGUGGAGGUGGAGGCACGGGGGUGAAGAAGAAACGGAAGAAAAAGGAUCCAAGUGAACAAGAGGCCGUAGAGAAAGGAGUCAAGGAUAAAGAACCCAAACCAAAGAGGAAGAGAGAACCUAAAGAACCAAAAGAACCCAAAAAGGUCAAAGAGCCUAAAAAGCAGAAGGAACCGAAACAGAAGGAGACUGUUAAGAAGUCUAGGAAACCAAGGGAGCCCAAACUGUCCAAGGAUCCUAAAGACAAAAGGGGCAGCACAGAUUCUACACCCAAGAUGAAGUCCAAGAAGGCCAGCAAGGAGCAAGGACCAACCCCAGUAGAGAAGAGGAAGAAAGGGAAAAGGAAAAAUGAUCUAUCAGUGGAAAACUUAGAGCUGGAUCAGGGCCUACUCAGUCCAUCUCAUCGGAACCCAGAGGAAUCCGCUGAGUCUGCUGACAGCCAGAAACGGCGCUCAGGACGACAGGUGAAGAGAAGAAAGUAUAAUGAGGACCUGGACUUCAAAGUGGUGGAUGAUGAUGGGGAAACAAUUGCAGUUCUAGGGGCUGGUCGCACCUCAGCCCUCUCCGCUUCCACACUGGCCUGGCAAGCAGAGGAGCCUCCAGAGGAUGAUGCUAAUAUCAUUGAGAAGAUUUUGGCAUCCAAGAUGGUACCUAAGGAGGUUCACCCUGGGGAGCUUCCUUUUGACAUGGAGCUGUUCUACGUCAAGUACAGGAAUUUUUCCUACUUGCACUGUAAAUGGGCAACAAUGGAAGAGCUGGAAAAAGACCCUCGAAUCUCUCAGAAGAUAAAGCGCUUCAGAAAUAAGCAAGCACAGAUGAAGCACAUUUUCACUGAGCCUGAUGAAGAUUUAUUCAAUCCAGACUAUGUAGAAGUUGAUCGUAUCUUAGAAGUGGCCCACACCAAGGACUCUGAUACAGGGGAAGAGGUGACUCAUUAUUUAGUGAAGUGGUGUUCCCUGCCAUAUGAAGAAAGCACCUGGGAAUUGGAAGAAGAUGUUGAUCCAGCUAAAGUGAAAGAAUUUGAGUCUCUUCAAAUUCUUCCUGAAAUUAAACAUGUGGAGCGCCCAGCUUCAGAUUCGUGGCAGAAACUUGAGAAAUCUCGGGAGUACAAGAACAAUAACCAACUUCGAGAGUACCAGCUUGAGGGGAUGAACUGGCUUCUUUUUAACUGGUAUAAUAGAAAAAACUGUAUUUUGGCUGAUGAGAUGGGCCUUGGGAAAACCAUUCAGUCCAUCACAUUUCUCUCAGAAAUAUUCCUGAUGGGAAUACAUGGUCCUUUCCUCAUCAUUGCUCCACUAUCCACCAUUACUAACUGGGAGCGAGAAUUCCGGACAUGGACAGAGAUGAAUGCCAUUGUGUAUCAUGGCAGCCAGAUUAGCAGGCAGAUGAUCCAGCAGUAUGAGAUGCUCUACAGGGAUGCUCAGGGCAACCCGCUCUCUGGAGUCUUCAAAUUCCAUGUUGUUAUCACAACAUUUGAGAUGAUUUUGGCUGACUGCCCAGAGCUGAAGAAGAUCCAUUGGAGUUGUGUGAUCAUUGAUGAAGCACACAGACUGAAGAACAGGAACUGCAAGCUUCUGGAGGGACUGAAGCUCAUGGCUUUGGAACACAAAGUGCUGCUGACUGGGACUCCCUUACAGAAUUCUGUAGAAGAACUCUUUAGCCUACUAAAUUUCCUGGAGCCAUCCCAGUUUCCUUCAGAGACUGCUUUCCUGGAGGAGUUUGGCGAUCUGAAGACAGAGGAACAGGUGAAGAAGUUGCAGUCCAUUUUGAAGCCCAUGAUGUUGCGGCGGCUGAAAGAUGAUGUGGAAAAGAACCUAGCUCCCAAACAAGAGACAAUCAUUGAAGUAGAGUUGACCAAUAUCCAGAAAAAGUAUUAUCGAGCCAUUUUAGAGAAGAAUUUUUCCUUCCUGGCCAAGGGGGCAAAUCAGCAUAACAUGCCCAAUCUCAUCAACACCAUGAUGGAGCUGAGAAAGUGCUGCAAUCACCCCUAUUUGAUCAAUGGGGCAGAAGAGAAAAUUCUGGAAGACUUCCGUAAAACACAUAGUCCUGAUUCUUUGGACUUUCAGCUGCAGGCCAUGAUUCAGGCAGCAGGCAAACUGGUGCUAAUUGAUAAACUGCUCCCCAAGCUCAUUGCUGGUGGACAUAAAGUGCUCAUCUUCUCCCAGAUGGUGCGUUGCCUUGACAUACUAGAAGAUUAUCUCAUCCAAAGACGGUACACAUAUGAACGGAUCGACGGCCGAGUACGAGGAAACCUGCGCCAAGCUGCUAUCGAUCGUUUCUGUAAACCAGAUUCAGAUCGUUUUGUCUUUCUCCUGUGCACCCGAGCAGGAGGCCUUGGUAUCAAUCUCACUGCUGCUGACACUUGCAUCAUUUUUGAUUCAGAUUGGAACCCACAAAAUGACCUGCAGGCUCAAGCUCGCUGUCACCGAAUAGGUCAAAGCAAGGCUGUGAAGGUCUAUCGUCUCAUUACUCGAAAUUCCUAUGAACGAGAAAUGUUUGACAAAGCCAGCCUGAAGCUGGGGCUGGACAAAGCUGUCCUGCAGGACAUUAAUCGAAAGGGAAGCACAAAUGGGGUACAGCAGCUCACAAAGAUAGAGGUGGAGGACUUGCUUCGUAAAGGGGCUUAUGGAGCCUUAAUGGAUGAAGAAGAUGAAGGUUCCAAAUUUUGUGAAGAAGAUAUAGAUCAGAUCCUACAAAGAAGAACUCACACCAUCACCAUCCAGUCCGAAGGAAAGGGAUCUACCUUUGCCAAGGCUAGCUUUGUGGCUUCAGGGAAUAGGACUGACAUUUCCUUAGAUGACCCCAACUUUUGGCAGAAAUGGGCUAAAAUAGCUGAACUGGACACUGAUGCAAAGAAUGAGAAGGAAAGCUUAGUGAUCGACCGGCCCCGUGUGAGAAAGCAGACCAAACACUACAACUCCUUUGAGGAGGACGAGCUGAUGGAAUUUUCUGAGUUAGACAGUGACUCUGAUGAAAGGCCCACCCGAUCGAGGCGGCUAAACGAGAAAACCCGGCGCUACCUCCGGGCAGAAUGCUUCCGGGUAGAGAAGAACCUGCUCAUCUUCGGGUGGGGACGGUGGAAAGAUAUCCUAACUCAUGGGAGAUUCAAGUGGCAUCUUAACGAAAAGGACAUGGAGAUGAUCUGCCGGGCUCUCCUGGUAUACUGUGUCAAACACUACAAGGGAGAUGAGAAGAUUAAGAGUUUUAUAUGGGAUCUGAUCACACCUACAAAAGAUGGACAGAACCAGGCUCUCCAGAACCACUCAGGGUUAUCUGCCCCAGUCCCCAGAGGGAGAAAGGGAAAGAAGACAAAGAAUCAGAUACUACUUCCCGAGUUAAAGAAUGCAGACUGGUUGGCCACCUGCAACCCUGAAGUUGUCCUGCAUGAUGACAGCUACAAGAAGCACCUUAAACAGCACUGCAAUAAGGUGCUUCUUCGAGUCCGGAUGCUAUACUACCUGAAAUCUGAAGUGCUGGGAGAAGCAGCAGAUAAAGCAUUUGAAGGAACCCCUGCCAGAGAGUUGGAUGUUUUGCUGCCUGAUAUUGACUACGUGGAGAUUCCAGUGGAUUGGUGGGAUGCAGAGGCCGAUAAGUCUCUUCUUAUUGGAGUGGUCAAACAUGGUUAUGAAAGGUACAAUGCUAUGCGAGCUGACCCAGCUCUUUGCUUCCUGGAAAAAGUUGGAAUGCCAGAUGAGAAGUCCCUUUCUGCAGAACAGGGUGUCACUGAUGGUUCACAAGACAUUUCAGAGAGAAGCAAUCUGGAUAAAGAGGAUAAUACUGAAGACAAAUUAGAUGGUCUGCAGAAACAGUUGGAGGAUACCAGUUUCGGUGAAAGUGAGAAGAAGGAUGAAACCAUGGCAGCCCAGGAUGGCUCCGACCCAGACAGAUCUCCCUGGCCCGUUUCCUCCGCCCUUACAGCUCGGUUGAGACGCCUGGUCACUGUUUACCAACGUUGUAAUCGUAAGGAACCCACUCGAGCUGAAAUUUUAGGUCCAGGUAACCAAGGAUAUUGGGUCCAGGAAGACAUGUUUAGGAGAGCCACUGAAAUCGACCCUAUCAACAAGGAAAUCCAAAAAAGAUGGACAAGAAGAGAACAAGCAGAUUUCUAUAGAACAGUGUCCUCCUUUGGUGUUGUCUACGACCAAGAAAAGAAAUCCUUUGAUUGGACCCAAUUUCGAGUCAUCUCACGCUUAGACAAGAAGACAGAUGAAAGCCUAGAAAAAUAUUUUUACAGUUUUGUGGCCAUGUGUAGAAAUGUUUGCCGCCUCCCCAUGUGGAAAGAUGAUGGUCCACCAGAUCCCACUCUUUAUGUUGAACCAAUCACAGAAGAACGUGCUGCAAGAACUCUCUACCGCAUUGAACUUCUGCGCAAGGUCCGAGAACAAGUACUGAAAUAUCCUCAGUUGCAUGAGCGCCUCCAGCUCUGUAGGCCUAGCCUCUAUCUGCCCGUCUGGUGGGAGUGUGGGAAGCAUGACCGGGACCUACUUAUCGGCACAGCGAAGCAUGGGCUCAGUCGUACUGACUACUACAUCAUGAAUGAUCCACAGCUGUCAUUUCUGGAUGCCUACAGAAACUACGCUCAGCACAGAAGAGCUGAACCACAAGGUCCAGAUAGUGCAUGUUGCCUUUACCAGACUAACUCCAGACUUUAUGAAUCCCUUACAUAUACUCAAAUGGGAAGGACUUGUGAGUCCAUAGAUACUGAACCUGAGAAUCAGUUGAAAAUGGAAAGCAUGGGUGAUAAUCUCAGCCACACUGAAAGCAGCCUACCUGAUGUAACAUGUGAAAAUUUUAUUUCUAAAGUUCAGGAUAUCAUUUCUAUUAACCAUGAUGAAAGCUUAUUACCUGAUUCUUUGGAGUGUAUGAUGUUUGGUGAGAAGGUUUUCAACAGUGAGCCAAGUUCUUUCAUUCAAGAGAAUCUCAGCAGCACUGAAUCUAAGAAGGAUGUUUCUGUAGCCUUAGCAGGCAAAAACAAAGAGAAUCAACCAGGUAGCCUUGAAGUGGAGGUGGCUACAAACCGCUGUUCCCUGGGUAAUUUAGAGGCAAAAAUAGAACAAAUGAGCAAUAAAAAUGAAAAGCAUUUGUCUCUCCUUGCUAUUAAGGACAUGGACUCUAACAAGUACACACCUGUUCCAAGACAUGAAACUAUAAGACAUCCUGAAGCCAAAUGUAGUAUUCCCCAACCCUUAGAGCAAGGGAAUGUAAGUAGAUUCAUGGAGAUGUGUAGCCUUAGUGUUUGUAAUUCUGAAAGAAAACUUUCUUCAGAGCAACAAUUAAUUGAUUUGUUAGGAAAUAAAAGUCUAGAAGAUAAAUUACUGUUGAGUCAGAACCAUAGUGAUGAAGAAGAAGAGGAAGAGGAAGAUGAGGAGGAGGAAAACUCAGAAGUAGGAGCACAAAUAAGGAAAAGGCCAGAGGGUAUAGGUCAAAUUGACCUCAAUACUAACAUAUCAAAUGAAAUGGGCAGAUGCUUCACUAUAGAUAAAACAAAGGAAAGGGGCCCAGAGACACAAAACCGUGAUCCUACAGAGUUAAGGAGUGUGGAUCAAACUGUAUGUCAGUGUCACUGCAAACCUAUAGACAGGUGGAAAAAUCAGGGUGACAGUGUGGAAUUUGAGAUGGAAAAGACCAAAUUCCAUGACCCAGACUUGUUCAAAGGCAAAGCUGUGAACAGUAUUGCUAUAGAAAGUGGAAACAAAACUCUUUUAUCAGAGCCCUUGAAAGUAAACCAUGAGUUUUUAAAAGAAGAUUCCUGGGAAGAUAAGGCAGAAAGGCAAAGAAGUUACAGCACAUGUCCUCUUGACAGGAGUGAUCUAAAACAAGAUGUGGACUUUGAGAAUAAGGAAGAUGAUGAUGACAAAGAUGGAAACUUACAGGGUCAAGAUUAUCCCGGAAAAUACUCUGAAGAAGAAAGUAAGAGCUCUGCAUCUGGAAUAGCAGGCGACAUUGGGGACGAACUCCAAGAAGUCCGAGCACCAACCAUUGCCCAACUUCUGCAAGAAAAAACUCUUUAUUCUUUCUCCGAAUGGCCAAAGGAUCGAGUGAUAAUUAACCGCAUAGAUAACAUCUGCCAUGCAGUCUUAAAGGGCAAGUGGCCUUCCAGCCAACAGUAUGAAAUGCCCAGCACACUUCCUGCUCCAGUGUUAAUCAGCAGUCCUAGCUCACGAAACAGCAUUGCAGAGCAAGAAACACCAGGCCCCAACUUCAGCAAUGGAGCUGCAUUAGUCACACAGAUCCCAAAGGAAAGUUUCCUGGCUCCAAUAUUUGCCAAGGAUGAAAGAAAGCACAGACGCCCCUAUGAGUUUGAUAUGGAGAGAGAUUUGAAGUCUCGGAGCCUAGAACAGUUCUCUGCUUCCCAUGGACACCCACCUAUUAUGCUCAAUGGCUGGCGUGGGGAGUCAGCCAUAGACCUCUCUUGCACACCUGAUGCACCCCCAGCAACCACCUCCCCUUUCCCAUUGAGCACCAGCACACCUAAGAUUGGGACAGUCAGCACCCUCCAAGGAUCCCUUGGCAUGGACUUGUCUGGAAUUCUGCAAGCUGGGUUAAUUCACCCUGUUACAGGACAGAUUGUCAAUGGAACCUUAAGAAGAGAUGAUGCUGCCAUGAGGAGACGAAGAGGGAGAAGAAAAAAUGUAGAAGGAGGAAUGGACCUCAUCUUUUUGAAGGACAGAACACUUCAGACAGGAAUUUUGGAGGUCCAGGAAGAUCAAGAGCAGCCUUCACCAAGCAGCACCCUCCCCGAUGGGCCAAUCUCGGCUACCUCAUCUCCUCACACAGUCACAACAACCAGUGUCCCAGCUGAGAAGACUAUUCCCAACAAGAGUUUGUUGGACUGGUUAAGGCAACAAUCUGAUUAUACAAUAGAAGUUCCUACCUUUGGGACAAAUUUUUCAGACAAACCGAAGCAGAGAAGACAGCGUUGUAAAGAACCAGGAAAAUUGGACAUGGGCUCCCUAAGUGGAGAAGAAAGAGUCCCUGCUGUCCAUAAGGAGACAGGACGGCAGGGGUUUCUACCAGAAAACAAGUUCAGUCAGAUCCUAACUGAGCCAGUUCUCCGAGAUGCUGGUCCUCGAAGGAGAGGAAGGCGCCCACGAAGCGACCUCAUUAAGGCUCCUGGCAUUGUGGCAGACUCUCCCUCAGGAAUGGGACCACUGUUCAUGAAUGGACUCAUUGCUGGAAUGGAUCUAGUAGGACUUCAGAAUAUGAGGAAUAUGCAGGGCAUCCCGCUUACGGGGCUGGUUGGGUUUCCUGCUGGCUUUGCGGCAGUGCCUGCUGGAGAGGAUGUCAAGAGCACCCUCAGUAUGUUGCCUAUGAUGCUGCCAGGCAUGGCAGCCGUACCCCAGAUGUUUGGUGUUGGAGGACUUCUGAAUACACCCAUGACGACGACAUGUACUUCAACGGUUCCAUCAUCUUUAACAAGCACAACUAAAAGUGGUACGUCAAACACAGAAAAGGCUACUGAUGACAAACAGAAUAGCCAUGAUGUAAAAAAAGAUACUUUAGCUGAAGACAAGCCUAUUCCUAAUUCCUUUUCAGAUCAGUCUGAACCUGCAAUAACUACCAGUAGUCCUGUAGCUUUUAACCCUUUUCUCCUACCAGGAAUGUCCCCUGGACUGAUCUACCCAUCAAUGUUUCUCUCUCCCGGCAUUGGCAUGACAUUGCCAGGCAUGCAGCAGACCAGACAUUCUGAAAACACAAGCCUAGAAAGCCAGAAGAGGAAGAGAAAGAAAGCGAAAGGGGAUACCCUGAAUCCAGACCCAGAAACUGUCCCCGUAUCAGAAAAAGAAUCUGGAAACGGUCAGAACUGUUCAGAGCACACCCCACUUUUGCCCACAGAUAAAGAACAUGGUGUACAAGCUGAGCAAAGUGAUUUAAAAGGAACUCAUAGUGACACCAAUUAGAACUUGAUUUCAUUAAGAAAAUUAUUGUGGCUUACUCUCAGUCUUCAGAAGCUUGACCUAAGAAGAAACCUGCUUAGGCACUUCUCAUCACCAUCCUUCUCUACCUGCCAGUUAACAUUUUUCAGUUCCCUUAGUCUUAGCUUUUCUGUAGAGCUCAUGACCUGAGACUUGAAAUAAACUCACAGUGGUGGAGUGCACUGGGGGCAGUGGGCAGUGCAGCAGGACAGUUGGAAAUGUUGGAAGUAUUGCUAGUGUCCAUUUUGUUGUCACAAUUUACUGUAUUUUUUACAUUUUCUGUUACAGUUUUGCUAAUUUAUCAGAAGGUCCAAACGUUUGACAUAACUAUUUCAGUUUGCAUUAUUUAUUUAUGAUGCUUGUCAUUGUCUUUUAUACAUUUGGGAUUAUAAAUUAUGUACGUGUUAAAAUUAGCAUCUCACAGAAGUCUGUUAAACCAUCACUGAAAAUCAACCAAGUGUAUUUUCAGAAACGAGAUUCCCAGUUUCAUGGAUCAGAGGAGUAAACCAGAAAUUAUGUAACUGAUCAUAUAGCAAAGAAGCCAAUAAUUAAACAUGUUGUAUUUAAUAACACCCUUGUAGCAUAGCUGCUGUAUAAUGCUAUCUGUCCACAGAUUUCUUAGAAAUGCUGCUCUCUCUAUUUAACUAACAUUUUGUUCAGUUUUGCCUCCAGUGGAAGCAGAAAGGGUUUUUUCAGCUGUUAAAUCCAAAAUCAAUAUAAUUUAUUUAUGUAAAAAAAAAUUCGAUUGAUAUAUUUUUGAACCUUUAAGUACUAAUUUUCUUUUUAUCAAGUAGAAGAAAAAAUUGUAUUUGCCCUAAAUCCUUAAAAUACAAAUGCUAUAAAACGUCAUAUAUUUUGAAAGCCUUACUGAAAAUGAGUAUUAUACACAUCUAUGCAGAUUUGGGGGGAGGGGGGAUAGUUUCUAUGGAAAAUUUGUUUUUUCCCAGGUUGCACCAUCAAUAGGAAACAGGGUUCAAUAUAGAUUUUAUUUAAAUAGCUAACAGCAUGCUAAGUUUCUUGUUUUUCCCCUCUCCAAUAUGUAUGCUAACUCUCUGGGUAUCUGGGCUUAUAUUUGAUUGCUCUUGUGACCCUGUUUGAAAAAUGAAAAUGAUACAUUAUGGAUUAUUUGCUCUGUAAGGCUUUAGUGGCUUCUUAUGACUAUUUUGAUAUCCAUUUCCAAAAGCAAAAGCCAAAUUUAAACUUUUCUUCCACAUCUUGGAUCUUUUCAUUCAAAUCCAUGUCAUUCAUAAACACACUCUCUCUUAAUCAUUCUUCACCCAUAUCGUACUACAUAAUAAAUUGUCUGUGGUCUUGACCCUGCAUAAAAAAAAAAAAAAGUUGAAAAGUCAGAUUUUUAUUUGAGGUGUUUAGUGACACUUUGUUGUCUUCUGCAGAUUUGACACAGUGUCUGUUAUUAUACCAGAUGGGUGCAGAAAUCCACUUGGUGGAUCUUUGUGGUGCCUAGUGCCAUGUACCCUAUGGGUAUUCAUGUAUUCAUUGGUGAUGAAACAGAGAUGCUUUUUUUCAACAUAGCAACCUUCCAAGGGCACCUGGUUAAAACCGUUUAUGAGGAUGGAUGAAGAAGGAACAGUAGCCAUUUGCCAGGAUUGGUGUCUCUAAGGGAACCAGUUAGGAAAUACUUGUCUUCUCCAACCCAUGGAGCUCCAACCGUGAAGCUACCCUUCAUUUGGGGUUUCAGGAUCUGAGAUGUCCUGCAUAUGAGGAUCCCUAGAAGGACAAAUCGUAACCUUUCUAUCUUAGUAGAUGGUCUAGAAGAGAUGAGGAAAAAGGAAGUUUUCAGAGAAACCUGGGCUUAUGAACUGAUGCAGAGCACAAAGUGAACAGAACCAGAACAAUUAGAAGGACAACACUGUUGCAAAGACAAACAUCUUGGAGAAACUUACAAACACUAAUCCAUGCAAUUACCAAUCAACUACAAUCAUACGGGACUUAUGAUGAUGCAUGCUACCUAUCUUCUGACAGAGAGGUGAUGGACUCAGGGCGUGGAGACAUAUUUUUUGACAUGGCCAGUGCAGGAAUUUGUCUUGUUUUACUAUGCAUAUUUGUUACAAAGGGCUUGUUUUUCUUUUUCAAUGAGGGAGAGAGGAAGUGGAAAGGAGAGAAAAUAAAUGCUUGU